UCCGUAGGUGAACCUGCGGAGGGAUCAUUACCGAGUUUACAACUCCCAAACCCAAUGUGAACGUUACCAAACUGUUGCCUCGGCGGGAUCUCUGCCCCGGGUGCGUCGCAGCCCCGGACCAAGGCGCCCGCCGGAGGACCAACCAAAACUCUUAUUGUAUACCCCCUCGCGGGUUUUUUUAUAAUCUGAGCCUUCUCGGCGCCUCUCGUAGGCGUUUCGAAAAUGAAUCAAAACUUUCAACAACGGAUCUCUUGGUUCUGGCAUCGAUGAAGAACGCAGCGAAAUGCGAUAAGUAAUGUGAAUUGCAGAAUUCAGUGAAUCAUCGAAUCUUUGAACGCACAUUGCGCCCGCCAGUAUUCUGGCGGGCAUGCCUGUCCGAGCGUCAUUUCAACCCUCGAACCCCUCCGGGGGGUCGGCGUUGGGGAUCGGCCCUCCCUUAGCGGGGUGGCCGUCUCCGAAAUACAGUGGCGGUCUCGCCGCAGCCUCUCCUGCGCAGUAGUUUGCACACUCGCAUCGGGAGCGCGGCGCGUCCACAGCCGUUAAACACCCAACUUCUGAAAUGUUGACCUCGGAUCAGGUAGGAAUACCCGCUGAACUUAAGCAUAUCAAUAAGCGGAGGA
rnacentral:rRNA from 1 species